rnacentral:lncRNA from 1 species
UGUUGAGUGCUUGUUUACUUUAGUAGAGCAGGCUGUAAGCUAUGGUUCCUCUAGGGCUGUUUUACACAAAGUUCAGCUUUCCCAGCCAUAGAAACAACUACUAGGACAGGACAAAGAGCAGAAUUAAGUUAUUGCCCAUUUUAGUUCCACCCAAAUUCUUGAGAGGGAUCAGACAAUAAGGCAGCAAAGUUCAAGACAAAUCCUUUAGCAACAGUAGAAGUCCUGCUAAGGAUAUCCUGUGUUUGAAAGAUAAUUCCAGUUAAAAUGUUUCAAACCAUUCAUAUAUUUAUAAAUUAAUGCUAUAAUAAUGAAAAUAGUUACUCUUUUUUUUUUUUUCCCCACUUACCAUAUGUUUUACAGACAUAACUUUAUAUUAGUCAUUUAGUAUAGAGGCAUCUAAACAGUAAGUGAAACAGCUACCUUAUUUUACAGAUUUCUUUGUUUUCUAAGUGGCAUUAUGAAAUUAAAAAAAAAAUAAGUAAGAAAGAAAGAAAGAAAAAAGCAACACCCAACAACGCACCUUUAAUAGAUAGCUUAUUAGCUUCAUCUGCUUGAUAAGACGAAAAAGGACAGGUGAGAGAAAUGAGUUCAGCUGUGCCUUGUUUGGAAAAGAAGGGAUUGGAUGUUGCAGCCUUCAUUGAGAAGAGGUGGCUUCUUAAGACAAAUGUUUGGUUAUUAUAAAAAGGUAGUGUUGCUUACUGAAGGAAGGUUGGAGAUUUUGUUGGGUUUUAAUUGCAUCAUUUUUUUAUUUUUUUUCUUUGUAUGGGUGCUAAAGCUGCUUAUGCAUGCAUCAUACCUAUCACAUUCCACUGUCUCUAAAAGCUGGGACAGGGCUGUUUGAAGUAGCAGCAUUGCAGAGAAGUAAGGAUUAUUUGCUGAGUCAUCCUAAGAUCUGGUGUGAGGACUUUCUUAAGGACUUGGAAAAACUUUGGCAGACUGCUUCUGUGGAGAUGUGGGGGAUGCGACCCAGCGUCAGAGACGCUGGAUGCUAGCCAAGGCACAGCACAUCUUGCACUUGUUCCCUCUAGAAGGGUAAGAUGAUUAUACUUAAAAAUAAUGAAGCAAGUCCUGGCAUUAGGUCUCUUUGGAAGCUGAUAGCUGUCAUUUGUCAUUCCAGGGCCAUGUCUGGUAGGAUGGGGCUGCCCAGGGG